rnacentral:miRNA from 1 species
GCCAUACUCAGAGCAGGCCCACUGAAAUUAAUGGACAUGACAUGGGUCCAUUAAUUUCAGUGGGUCUGCUCUGAGUAAAACUUAGC